rnacentral:rRNA from 1 species
GUUGGUGGAGUGAUUUGUCUGGUUAAUUCCGUUAACGAACGAGACCUUCGCCUGCUAAAUAGGUACGCGCAGCCUUCGUGCUGGGCGGGCACCUUCUUAGAGGGACACUCUGUGUUUAACAGAGGGAAGUUGGAGGCAAUAACAGGU